rnacentral:lncRNA from 1 species
AUGACACGCUAAGGUGCGAAGCGGCUGCACAUCUACGGCCAGCCUCAUCGUCUUCAGGGAUUUAUUCAAAGGUCAUUCCGAAUUGUAAGGUAGCCACUGCAGAACACGAGCCUUUCCUGGGUAUGUGUGGCCCAACUUCAGAAUUACCGGAAACACCCACCGGAAGGCUGCACUGCUUCCAAACUCUUCUGCUCCUCAGUUCCUGGUUCCAGGACCCCCGUUCCCACCUGCCUUUGUCCUACAGCUCCUCGGAAAGCCCAACGUGCCUGUCUCCCUGCAGAGCCCACUCUGUUAGCUCUCAGCAGCCUCAAGAGGGCUCAGGCUGCAUGCUCUACCCCAGGUUUAUCUCUGCCCUUCACGGUCCCACUCAAGUCCUGCCUCCCUCAGGGAGACCUCCCAGACCUCACCAAGCCGUGG